GCUCAACUUCCCGCUCUUAACGAGACCCGGGAUCCCUUUGGAGAGGCCCUCGGGAGCUGGCGACAGGGCUGGGAGUGGCGUGGGUUUCCCCUAAGUGGUAGCACAGCUGCUACUACUAUGGAGAUAAGGAUGGCUUCGGAACCCAGAUAAACAAUAAGGAAAUGUAAAGCAGAAAUAGACUAUAUUUCCAACUCAUUUGAGUGGCAGAAAACAUUCUCAGGUACAUAAAGCACUGCCCUCCGGGGGAUGUACUUGUGAUGGGAUGAGGAACUAUAUCCAAGUCUGGGGAUAUCAGCUGCUAGAGACGCUUUCCUGCAAGACACGUGAUUGGGGGCCUGACAUCAGAGGUGCAUCACUCCUGUUAACUUGUUGCCUCACCAAAGCCACCUCUCCAGACUUGGGUGCGUAGAACUCACCCGCACCCCACUGUCCCUGUUCUUCUUGUGGAAGAGUCAAGCAUUACUGGUGACUACAGGUCCCUGCACCAUCCCUUGUCCCUGAUGCUUUCCUGGAAUUCUCCAGGGACGGUGCCCAUCACAGGCU
rnacentral:lncRNA from 1 species